AGGACGAACGCUGGCGGCGUGCCUAACACAUGCAAGUCGAACGCGCUCCAUUCGGUAGCAAUACUGAUGAAGAGCGAGUGGCGAACGGGUGAGUAGCACGUGAGCAACCUGCCCCGAAGACCGGGACAACACCGGGAAACCGGUGCUAAUACCGGAUAUCCCUAUCGGACCGCAUGAUCUGAUAAGGAAAUGGAUUCCGCUUCGGGAGGGGCUCGCGGCCUAUCAGCUAGUUGGUGAGGUAACGGCCCACCAAGGCAUCGACGGGUAGCUGGUCUGAGAGGACGAUCAGCCACACUGGGACUGAGACACGGCCCAGACUCCUACGGGAGGCAGCAGUGGGGAAUCUUGCGCAAUGGGCGAAAGCCUGACGCAGCAACGCCGCGUGGAGGACGAAGGCUUUCUGAGUUGUAAACUCCUUUCAGCAGGGACGAUAGUGACGGUACCUGCAGAAGAAGCACCGGCAACUACGUGCCAGCAGCCGCGGUAA
rnacentral:rRNA from 1 species